CAACCCUCAAGCCUAGCUUGGUCUUGGGAAUCGCGGUCCCCGCGGCCCCUAAAAUCAGUGGCGGUGCCUGUAGGCUCUACGCGUAGUAAUUUUUCUCGCGAUGGAUCCCUAUACGUGCUCGCCAACAACCCCCAAUUCUUUCA
rnacentral:misc_RNA from 1 species